ensembl:lncRNA
AGGGGAUCGAACUACCAGAAUGCAACAUUGCAGGCACAGAGGACAGCCACAAUUACCUGGGGAUCCCAGGUCAGGCAAGUCCUGAGGAGUCAACAGAAUGGGAAGAACAAGAUCCGGGCUAUCAACACCUACGCCCUGCCCGUGAUCAGGUACCCUGCUGGGAUAAUAAGCUGACCAAAGGAGGAGAUAGAAGCCACUGACAUCAAGACAAGGAACUUCUGACCAUGCAUGGAGGGUUUCACCCCAAGUCCAGCACCCUGAGGCUGUACGCUAAACGGAAGGAAGAAGGCCAACGGACAUCGAUGAAUGCAUCUUCCUGAUGCAUUUGUGGAUGUCCGUUGGCCCCAACCGACCGCGUGCUCAGUGAAUACCUCAGGCAACAGAAACACGAGGAAGAGGAGGAACCAUCAUGGAAGGAUGGUACGGCACGGUAUGUACCACAGGCAGAUAGAGGAGGUGGCUGGCAUCCAGAAAUCCUACCAGUGGCUGGACAAAGCUGGACUGAAAGACGGCACAGAGGCACUAAUCAUGGCAGCACAGGAACAAGCUCUGAGCACAAGAUCCAUAGAGGCUGGGGUCUAUCACACCAGGCAAGACCCCAGGUGCAGGCUGUGCAAAGAUGCCCCUGAGACAAUCCAGCCCAUAACAGCAGGGUGCAAGAUGCUAGCAAGCAGGAAGAAGGAUAAUGAGAAGCUUGAGAAAUACCAAGGGCUCAGAGAAGAUGUGGAGGGUGAAGGUUCCCAUUGGUAAUCGAAACACUAGGUGCAGUGACUCUAAAGCUAGGCGAGUGGCUCCAGCAGAUCCCAGGAACACCAUUGGACAUCUCUGUCCAGAAAAGCGCAGUCCUAGGAACAGCUAAGAUACUGCGCAGGACCCUCAAGCUCCCAGGCCUCUGGUAGAGGACCCGAGGAUAGACCGACCGCAGGGGCGAGUGGGGAAUUCUAACAAAGAUGUCUUGAUUUAAAAAAAAAAUAGAUAACUAACAGACGUUAAAAUAUUUCAAUAUAUUUCAAAUAAAGUCAUAAUUAGAGGGGACGCCCAUGAGAGCACUCAGCCUCACCAAAUUAACAUCUGCCCUGUUGUUGAGAAUAAAACAGACUUUGGGCAGGUAAGCAAACAAAUCUGAACAAAUUUGAACUUUGAUGUUAAACAAGAGCUGAAGUAAAACAGCCUCCACCUACAAACACAUGCAUUAUAAAACAAGUCUAAACGCUCACUGGAGGCUGAUUACAAAAUGAGAGGACUCACACUGCUCUGUUUGGUGGGAUUCAUUCUCACAGCUUUGCUGCAUGAAGGAAGCACAGCACCAGCAAAGAAUAAUGUCCAUAAUGAAGGCAACUCAGAAAAGACCAUAAUCUCAGUGUUGUGCCAUGGGUGCUGGCAUGGCUUUGAAGGUACACGUGAUGCAACCGAAUCAGCUGAGGGAAAUGACACACAGAACAAGACCUUGCAUCUUCAUCCAAAUAAUGCUACUCAUGCUGGAAAUGCCACAGAGGUUCAUCACAACAAUACAGCUGCAGCAACAGUGAAAGAAGACGUGUGAUGCUAAAAAUGUGGAAACAUGAAUCUUCACAGAGACAGACGACCGUGAUUCUGCUGGUGUUACUGUCUACUCUGAAUAAACACUAAAAUGAUGUUUUGAGAAAAAGAUUUUCUUAUUUGUUAACAUGUAUCCUAUAGGAUCAUUUAAAAUGUGUUUUUUAAACACAUUUAAGAGCUUAAACGUUCAUGUCCAAACACACAUAAAACACCUAUUCUGACAAAAUGAGUCGGUGCCACACUGACACUCUGCUGUCUUGCUUCUUCAUGAGUAUCAUCACUGUGGUUGAUCUAAAUUCCCAUCUUUUGUCCUUUUGCUGUUUUAAACACCAAAUCCACAAAAACGGUUUGUGACAAACUAACUCGACAUGACAGCACCUGUGUGUUACAGGGAGCUGCUCCCUGCUUUUACAAAUUUACACCAUUAAUACAAAAUAACCUGACUCGCACUGCUGUAUUCUCACAGCAUCACAGAGACACUCAUAUCACUGAUGGAUGUUCACAGAGUUACUGAACAGAAAAAAUUAAAUGCAUAUAUAUUUAGAUUUUUGUAGUUUUAUAAUUUUUGGACCAGAUGGAAACACAAGCUUGACUUAAAUAUAUUUUUUCACUAAGAAUCGGCUGGAGUGUGGCUCAUGCUGCUGAGCCUCUAAGAUUCGAUGAAUAAUUACUUUGCUGUUUUGUUUGCAAAAAGUGUUUUUUGUAACUUUUAAAACAAGUACUAUUAUGCACGACUAAAGAAGCCAUAAAUAAAAAAGUUAUUUUGUGUACCUUAACUGUUAUGCUUCGUUGUAAAAAUCACCUAUUUACAGCGUCUCAAAUGAUCAAAACAAAAGCAAAUAUAAUGACUUUUUUGGCUGUGUCACUGUGUAAUUUAUGUUUCUGUGUGUGUUAAAAUUAUGUAAAGUCAUUAUUUGACAGAAACGAUUCAGUUUUACGUAGUUAGAGUACAGAUGAUGAAACAGCUGCACACAGAGGUUACUAUUGUUAGUUUUAAACCUUUAUCACAUAAUUUACAUAUUCAGUUUCAGUUCUCAGAAUCCAAAAAGAAGAAGCAAAAUGUUACAAUUUCUUUCUUCUUUGUGUCAACUUCUGCCUGUACUUAUUUUUGUCUCUUUUCACACUUGAAAGGAUAUUUGUAAAAGAGCAAGCUCAAGCUUCUUAUUAGUUUAUUGUAUAUAUUUUCUAUUUUAGACCGCACACUGGCACCCUCUCGAAAAUCCUCUUUCUUUUCCAACUGAACCAACAAGCAACGAGACCUUGCAUCCAAAUAAUUCUACUCAUGCUGGAAAUGCCACAGAGGUUCAUCACAACAAUAGAGCGGAAGCAACAGUGAAAGAAGACGCGUGAUGCUCAAAAUGUUGAAACAUGAAUCGUCACAGAGACAGACGACCGUGAUUCUGCUGGUGUUACUGUCUAUUCUGAAUAAACACUAAAAUGAUGUUUUGAGAAAAGUUUUCUUUAUUUAUUAAGCU